rnacentral:rRNA from 1 species
AUACGGAGGGUGCGAGCGUUAAUCGGAAUUACUGGGCGUAAAGGGUGCGUAGGCGGCUUGAUAAGUCGGAUGUGAAAGCCCCGGGCUUAACCUGGGAAUUGCAUUCGAUACUGUCAGGCUAGAGUAUGUCAGAGGUUGGCGGAAUUCCUGGUGUAGCGGUGAAAUGCGUAGAUAUCAGGAGGAACACCAGCGGCGAAGGCGGCUAACUGGGGCAAUACUGACGCUGAGGCACGAAAGCGUGGGGAGCAAACAGGAUUAGAAACCCUAGUAGUCC